GAUGAACGCUAGCUACAGGCUUAACACAUGCAAGUCGAGGGACCGGCGCACGGGUGAGUAACACGUAUCCCCCCUGCCCUUUACUCGGGGAUAGCCUUUCGUAAGAACGAUUAAUACCCGCUGUACAGGAUGGGGAUGCGUUCCAUUAGGUUGUUGGGGAGGUAACGGCUCGCCAAGCCUUCGAUGGAUAGGGGUUCUGAGAGGAAGGUCCCCCAGAUUGGAACUGGGACACGGUCCAAACGCCUACGGGAGGAAGCAGUGAGGAAUAUUGGUCAAUGGGCGUUAGCCUGAACCAGCAAAGUAGCGUGAAGGAUGAAGGCUUAUGGGUCGUGAACUUCUUGUAUAUAAGAAUAGGUAUUAUAUGAAUAAGGAUCGGCUAACUCCGUGCCAGCAGCCGCGGUAAUUC
rnacentral:rRNA from 1 species